GUUCUGGGAUACAUGUGCAGAAUGUGCAGGUCUGUUACAUAGGUAUACAUGUGCCAUGGUGGUUUGCUGCACUCAUCAACCCGUCAUCUACAUUAGGUAUUUCUCCUAAUGCUAUCCCUCCCCUAGCUCCCCACCCCACAACAGGCCCCAUUGUGUGAUGUUCCUCUCCCUGUGUCCAUGUGUUCUCAUCAUUCAGCUCCCACUUAUGGGUGAAAACAUGCGGUGUUUGGUUUUCUGUUCCUGUGUUAGUUUGCUGAGAAUGAUGGUUUCCAGCUUCACCCAUGUCCCUGCAAAGGACAUGAACUGAUCCUUUUUUUAUGGCUGCAUAGUAUUCCACGGUGUAUAUGUGCCACAUUUUCUUUAUCCAGUCUAUCACUGAUGGGCAUUUGGGUUGGUUCCAAGUCUUUGCUGUUGUGAAUAGUGCUGCAAUAAACAUACGUGUGCAUGUGUCUUUAUAGUAGCAUGAUUUAUAAUCCUUUGGUUAUAUACCCAGUAAUGAGAUUGCUGUGUCAAAUGGUAUACAACUACAUUUUUAAAGGAUACAUUUAAUUUUAAAAAACAUACUGUUGCUUGCAUGUAUUUACAAAAUAGGCACUGAUAGGAAAUUAUGACAAUGCAUUUAUUUUUAAAAAGGCAUUGUAUGCAAGAUGUGACCUGAUAUAAAGUCCUGAGAACACAGAAAAUGUCCGUAUCUGGUGAUGUGCAACUCCAUGGGUUAGAAAACAUGUUUCUGGGCUCUCCCACAGGAACCACAAGCUCAGUACAGAGACAGAUCUUCUGGUCCCUGACACUGACUCUUCUUUCUCCUUCUUUCAGAGGACCAGAACAGGAUGGGAUCUUUCAUUCUUCAGAGCUUCUAAACUUAGUUCUGCUCAGGCAUCUCCCAGUGGCUCCCACCAGCUCUCUCAUUUGUAACUGCAGAGACAUUGAAGAGUAUUUUCAUCUCAGAAGAGAAAGUAAGUGAUGGGAUAGACUUUAAUUUCCAAAGACCUGGUUGCUGGCUCCAGUAAGUGUCCUAGGUAAGAAAACAACCUACCGUUGUGCUGUCUGUAUGUGUAAAUGGAUGACAUUAAUGUUAGAUUUUGAAAUGCAGUGGUCUGAGACAGACACUGAAUCCUGCUGUGCCUGUGGGGACUGAAGAAGAGUAGUGAUGUUCUUCUUAUCGUUUGUCAGGAACUGCAGUUCGCUGCACACGUGACAUUCCUGAAGGGUAUUCAGUGUGGGAGCAAUUUUUAUGACUUUUCAGCUGACUCAUGGUUUCCAUUUAAAUUAUUUAAUUAUCAUAAUUGAGAAAAAAAUGUAAUGUUAUUUUCCUUUUACUGGUGAAGGAACAAGUAGAGAGGUGAAACGAUUUGCUUACAUUUAUAAGGCUAAUUAAUGCGGUGACCAGGUGAGAAAUCAAGUCUGUUUGAUCCAAGGUUCUUAAUCCCUAACUUCAAAGCAUCUGACUAUAUCUGAAUCUUUUAGCAUUUCAUUGCAUUCAUGGUAUGGAUUCUUUUCUAUAAUCUAGAUUUGUGAUCACUGUCAUCCAGUUUCAUGACACAAACUUAUUUCUAUGUCUCUGACAAUUUCCUAUGACAGCUGUUUAGUUUUCAGAGCUUUCUUUUCCUUUGCUGGCAUCUAAACCUGAUUUUAAUGUACAGAUUUUUUUGCCUUCACUUUAUUGUUAUUUUUAUCAGUUACAUUUAUCAAUUCUAUUUCUUUUGCUCCAGUCAAUAAUACUUUCAAUUCUUGCCGGGUGCGGUGGUGCACGCCUGUAAUCCCAGCACUUUGGGAGGCCAAGGUGAGUUGAUCACCUGAGUUCAGGAGUUUGAGACCAGCCUGGCCAACAUGGUGAAACCCUGUCUCUACUAAAAAUACAAAAAUUAGCUGAGCAUGGUGGUGUGCACCUGUAACACCUGCUACUUGGGAGGCUGAGGCAUGAGAAUCUUUUGAACCCAGGAGGCGGAGGCUGCAGUGAGCUAAGAUCAUGCCACUAUACUCUAGCCUGGGUGACAGAGCGAGACUCUGUCUAAAAAAAAUACUUUCAAUUCUUUUUGUAGAUAAUUGUAUACUAUAGAGAAUGGAGAUAUAAUUUUUUAAAAGUAAGUUUUCAUGAAAAUGCUCUUUUUAGCCCUUUCAUAUAUAGUUGUUUGUCCUCUUAUAAAAUAAAACUUCAUUCUAGCUGUAGUGCUGGGUAUGAAAGGUGUCAAGAAUGUUGCUGUCAAUCUGUUUCAUACCCACAAGCAGGACAACAAUAUAAUUUGUGAGCCCUUGAAAUUUUGCCCUUGUAAGUUCUUUCCUCCAUAAAAAGUAUUAAAAGUUGUAUUUUAUGAGUAUAUUGGCAUAAAGAGAAAUAUAAUUCAGUUGUACUUAGAUUAUAUUCAUUUUCUUCUUCUUCUUUUAAAGAAAUUAAGCAUUUCAAGGGCUCCUAAAAGUAUCAUGGGCUGUUGGCACUACUACUGGGCCUUAAUGAAUAUAUCAGCGUAGUCUACUAUAUGUCCUCCUAAUAAAAAUUGAUGGAGACAGGAUAAGAUAAUUGACUGUCCCAGGUUUCAUCGAUCAAGAAAUAGAAUAAAUCUCUAUAAAAUAUCACCAGAUAUUCUUGCCUAAAUGUUUGUGUCAUAAGACUUAUUUAUUAUCAGUUUUCAUUAUUUGCUUCCAGAGCUUCUCAAUGACAUUUUUCACUUGCUUAUUUUUGAGGGUGUAGAUUAAAGGGUUCAACAUAGGUGUAAAUAGGGUGCAAAACACAGUCACAGCUUUGUCAGUGGGGAAGGAGGUUAGAGGUCUUAGAUACAGGUAUGAACAAGGGACAAAGAAUAAGAUGACAACAAAGAUAUGAGAGGUACAACUAGACAGAGCUUUGUGACGCCCUUCAGAGAUAUGAGUCCUUAGGGAGCACAGGAUGAUGACAUAGGAAGCAACCAGCAUGGAAAAAAUGAGGAAACACAAUGAUCCACUGUUGGCAGCUAUCAGAGGCCCCAAGGUGUGAGUGUCUGUGCAGGCCAGCUCUAGAAGAGGUACUAAAUCACACAUAAAGUGGUCGAUGACAUUAGGGCCACAGAAUGGUAACUGGGCUAUGAACAAAGUCUGGAUCCCUCCAUGCACAAAUCCCAGAAUCCCAGCCACCCCCAUCAGGAAUCCACACAUAGGUUGACUCAUGAUGGUUGCAUAGUGCAAGGGCUUACAGAUGGCCACAUAGCGGUCGUAGGCCAUGACACUUAAUAAGAUGAUCUCAGCUGCCGCAAAGAAAUGUUCUGCGAAGAGCUGAGUCAUGCAGCCAUUGAAGGAUAUGGUGUUCUUUUCAGAGAUCAAGUCAAAGAUCAUUUUAGGGGCUAUGGAAGAAGAGUAGAAAACAUCUAUAAUGGACAAAUAGGACAGAAAAAGGUACAUGGGGGAAUCCAAGGCUGGGCUGAUGAAGAUGAUGACUGAGAUGAGCAGGUUACCUGCCAAUGUGAUCAAGUAGCUGAUUAAAAACAUAAUAAACAAGAGUUUCUGCAGUUCUGGAUUGUGAGUGAGGCCCAGCAGGAUGAAUUCUGUUACAUUGUUCAUGUUUUUCAUAGCUCAGGUUGUGUGUAUAUGGCCGAUCUGAAAAAAAAAACCCAGUAUUUCUGAAUGAUGAUAUUUUAAAUUCAAUACUAAAAUAUUUCAUCACCUCUUUAGUCCUGGUUUUCGGGGGUGAUGGAGCUACAUUGCCACUCUUUUGCAGAGCUGUAAAGAGGAACAGAAGAUUAGAUUUCUCCUAAUUCAUAGAUUAAUGAAAUAGUGAUAAUAUCUUACAAGUACCACAAUAAAACAAGAUCUUGUUAUAAAUAUUGACUUCCAAACUUCCUUUCUGGCUCUAAAAUUUCACAUACGGCUUUCUUUCAUUUUUGGACAGGACAAAUCUUAUCAAUAACAAAUGUUUUGAAAUUAUACUUUCUUUUGUUAUGGUUAUUUAUGGGUAUAUGAAUCCAGUAUGUAUAUUAGAUACUAAUAUGCAUAUUAGACACUAAAGUGCAAAGCCUUACUAAAUCUAAGCCGCUGUGUUCUGUGAUCUAUUGUCCUUUUCUAUCAUAUAAAUGCACAUGUACACAGAUAGAGACAGAACUGCAAAUGGAGAUAUUUUUCUUUUGGAAUGCUGGGUAACUAUCGCAAUAACAACUCAUUGAGGAUAAUUCAUUCAACAUCCCUGACUGUUGCAUCCAUCCCUAUAAAUGACCCUUAUUUUUCAUGCUCACUCUUUCUGCAUCUUUAAUUGUGGCUAUGUAAAUGGUGCAAAGUUAUAAAAUGUAAUGAUAUUUCAUAAAUACAUUUUCCUCUUGGUUGGAUUUUUAUCACAUGUAGAAUUAUACACUGGAUUAGAUAUAUUUCCCCACUCACAUCUUAACAAAUGGAAUUAAAUGAGUCAUGAUGUUUUUCCCUGAGUUUUCUAUUGGCAAGACAGAAAUGUUAGGGUCACCUGAGAUAAUGCAGUUUUCUCUUUUGGCAUAAGUUUGGUCAAUUAAGAUGAACUUGUAGUUUUCAUUGCUAACUGCUAAACAACUGGAAAUUUGUAUUGCUACCUGAAAACAUUGAAUAUAUAUAAGAAUGUAGAUAUUUUUGAAUAAUCCCAAGAGCUUCAAGAGUAAGUACAUGUUGUUACAAAAAAACGUAAGAUAUUUUAUUUCUUCUCCUCCCCCUUUUCU
ensembl:lncRNA